AGUUAAUUAGCUUAAAAGCAAUUGUUUUGAAAACUUUUUUAAGAAAAAUUUAUUUCUAUUAACUU
rnacentral:tRNA from 1 species